rnacentral:lncRNA from 1 species
GGGCGGGGCCUGCCGCCGCCACCGCCUCAGGGAAGAGGAAGGAGGCCGCGGCUUCGCGUCCCGCCUCUCGCCUGGCUGGCCGUGGGGGGCCUGGACGCAGUGGCCUCCCGAAUCUCCCAGGACCCUAAUGUCGCCCGAGGAUGCUGGGAGGAACACUGAGCCGACCUCUCCGUUAGGCUGAAGAUUGCACAAACCAUGCUAAUGGCCAGCAUGGGUGGAGGGAGCGUGUGAGAUGUGUGGGGCGGCGUGCUGCAUCUCAGCCAACUCCAGGAGGAAGCAUGCUCAUGGCAAUACCCGGAGUCUCCACUGCAAGACCAGAGUGAUGGAGGCAGCAGAGCUCCUCAGCAGGCCAGGAGUCUCCAGAGGCACUGCCGAAUGUCUAAGAAGCAACCUCAUUGUAUUCCCAAGAGCUGGGAAUCCAGGUCUCGCAGAUACGAUGAUACAAUCUAUAGCCAGGACAUCUCUUCAUGUGUAGGAUAAGCAACUAUCCCAGUCUUCCCAGGAUUGAGGGACUUCUCCAGAUGCUGCACUUCCGGUGCUAAAAAUUAGAAACUGAAAUGAAUUAGUCACCCAAGGAAUGCUGACCCUGUGCUA